AUUGAACGCUGGCGGCAGGCUUAACACAUGCAAGUCGGACGAGUGGCGAACGGGUGAGUAACGCAUCGGAACGUCCCCAGUGGAGGGGGAUAACUGUUGGAAACGAUAGCUAAUACCGCAUAGCAUUCGAUGGGCCGAGGUGUGAUUAGCUGGUAGGAGGGGUAAAGGCACACCAGGGCGACGAUCAGUAGCGGGUCUGAGAGGAUGAUCAGCCACACUGGAACUGAGACACGGUCCAGACUCCUACGGUAGGCAGCAGUGGGGAAUAUUGGACAAUGGGCGGAAGCCUGAUCCAGCCAUGCCGCGUGUCUGAAGAAGGCCUUCGGGUUGUAAAGGACUUUUAUCAGGGAGGCGGUACCUGAAGAAUAAGCACCGGCUAACUACGUGCCAGCAGCCGCGGUAAUAC
rnacentral:rRNA from 1 species